AGCACAUCGCAACAACGCCGUUGCGUGCUGACACGAGAGAAGCUGCGCUGCGUGGAUUCCACCGAGUGUUUUUGGAAAACGUCAGCGUGUUCUGGUUCAAGUGUACUACACCGCCGAGCGUGCUUUGAGACUUGCACCACGAUUUGCGACUUCUCGCAGAAGCACUCGCUGUAGAUGAGUUGCCCGAAUGCAUCCUGCAGUGUAGUGUUUUGCACCGACGCGGACGCUUAUGAAACAUCGGCGCCAGCGCCACUUCUGGAAAGUGGAUACGGAUUCGUCGUCGGCCCUGGGUGGCACGAACGGGUGCCGGGGGGGCGUGGCCGGGAUCGCUCCGCUUCCGGCCGGGUUGCGAGGGUCCGUGCUGCACAGGGUCCGCACGAAGCCCGCCAGGUCGCUGCGCGCGUUGACAGCACGGCACGAGGAGCCCACCGCCUCGUAGUGGUCCGCCUGCUCCCGAGCCUGUAGAGAAAUCGACCAAUCAGAGUGAGCCAAGCGGCCAGCCAGUCGAGCAAUCAUUCAGCCAGUCAACAAUGGCACCCUGGACCACGUUUUGGCUGCUAGCAGGCGUCAAAGAAGUGGUAAGUUACUCC
rnacentral:lncRNA from 1 species